UGUAAAUUGGCCGAAGCACUUAGGCUGUUAUACUUGAGCUCCCCAAAGAGGGCAGAAGCUAAGAUUUCUACUCUGCUGCUCAUUACCACCAUGCAGCAGCUCUUGAGAAGUGCUUUGAUGACUUAUCCUUAGGGUCUUGAUGCUGUUACAACGAAGAGUGCUUCUAUCAGGAAAUGGCACCUGCGUCCGAGGUGUUCUUGUCUUUGCUAUUGAAAGCUUUUGAGAGUGAUUGCAUUCCUUAGAGGAAUCAUGCACCAUUAUCAACAUUAUCAUCAUCAUCAUCAUUAUCAUCAUC